rnacentral:rRNA from 1 species
GGACCCGCACAAGCGGUGGAUGAUGUGGAUCAAUUCGAUGCAACGCGAAGAACCUUACCUACCCUUGACAUGCCAGGAAGCCCGAUGAGAGUUGGGUGUGCCCGAAAGGGAGCCUGGACACAGGUGCUGCAUGGCUGUCGUCAGCUCGUGUCGUGAGAUGUUGGGUUAAGUCCCGCAACGAGCGCAACCCUUGUCACUAGUUGCUACGAAAGGGCACUCUAGUGAGACUGCCGGUGACAAACCGGAGGAAGGUGGGGAUGACGUCAAGUCCUCAUGGCCCUUAUGGGUAGGGCUUCACACGUCAUACAAUGGCGCAUACAGAGGGCUGCCAACCCGCGAGGGGGAGCCAAUCCCAGAAAGUGCGUCGUAGUCCGGAUUGCAGUCUGCAACUCGACUGCAUGAAGUCGGAAUCGCUAGUAAUCGCGGAUCAGCAAUGCCGCGGUGAAUACGUUCCCGGGUCUU